rnacentral:rRNA from 1 species
AUCCGGAGGGGGUUAGCGUUGUUCGGAAUUACUGGGCGUAAAGCGCACGUAGGCGGACUGGAAAGUUAGAGGUGAAAUCCCAGGGCUUAACCCUGUAACUGCCUUUAAAACUAGUAGUCUAGAGUUCGAGAGAGGUGAGUGGAAUUCCAAGUGUAGAGGUGAAAUUCGUAGAUAUUUGGAGGAACACCAGUGGCGAAGGCGGCUCACUGGCUCGAUACUGACGCUGAGGUGCGAAAGCGAGGGGAGCAAACAGGAUUAGAAACCCGAGUAGUCC